rnacentral:rRNA from 1 species
UCCUUAGAUGUUCUGGGCCGCACGCGCGCUACAAUGAUGAAUUCAACGAGUUUAUAACCUUGGUUGAAAAGCCUGGGUAAUCUUUUGAACUUUCGUCGUGAUGGGGCUAGACCCUUGCAAUUAUUGGUCUCCAACGAGGAAUUCCUAGUAAACGCAAGUCAUCAGCUUGCAUUGAUUACGUCCCUGCCCUUUGUACACACCGCCCGUCGCACCUACCGAUUGAAUGGUCCGGUGAAAUCUUCGGAUUGAGACUUUGAUUUGUUUACUCAAAACGCUGUUUCAAGAAGUUGAUUAAACCUUACCAUUUAGAGGAAGGUGAAGUCGUAACA